CUGCGGGCCACCUUCCCCCACCGGAAGGCGACUAUCUGAGAGGAUAGAUAGA
rfam:Tepidicaulis marinus DNA, contig: scaffold00019.